rnacentral:rRNA from 1 species
UACGAAGGUCCCAAGCGUUGUUCGGAAUCACUGGGCGUAAAGGGAGCGUAGGCGGCGUGGUAAGUCAGAUGUGAAAUCCCGGGGCUCAACCCCGGAACUGCAUCCGAUACUGCCAUGCUUGAGGGUUGGAGAGGUAGCUGGAAUUAUCGGUGUAGCAGUGAAAUGCGUGGAUAUCGAUAGGAACACUCGUGGCGAAGGCGAGCUACUGGACAACAUCUGACGCUGAGGCUCGAAGGCUAGGGGAGCAAAAGGG